UAAGCAGAAUGACUUCCUUUACAUUCCUUCUGUAUGUCAAUAAAAGCGAAACACUUCCAAUUAAACAGGACCGUGUUAAUACGGGAAUUGAAGAUGUGGCUUUGGACUUCACCUGGGAGAAAUGGCAGCUUCUGGACCCGAUUAGGACCUGUACAGGGACGUGAUGUUGAGAACUACAGCCACCUGGUGUCAGUGGGGUAUCAAGCCAGCAAACCAAACACAUUCUUCAAGCUGGAAUGAGGGGAAGAACCCUGGACAAUAGAAGACAAAAUCCACAGUGGAACCUGUCCAGAAGUUCCAUUUGCAAUAUCCAAAAAACAACCACCUGGAAGCAACCUAAAAGUCCCACUGAUAAACGAUUAAACACAUUUUGGACUAUCCAUACAGUGGAAUAUUGAGCAACAAGAGGAACAAACUUAUGGAUACUUCAAAACAAUUAUGUUGCCCUAACCGGUUUGGCUCAGUGGAUGGAGCGUCGGCCUAUGGACUGAAGGGUCCCAGGUUCAAUUCCAGUCAAAGGCCU